rnacentral:rRNA from 1 species
UACAGAGGUCUCAAGCGUUGUUCGGAUUCAUUGGGCGUAAAGGGUGCGUAGGCGGCGCGGUAAGUCGGGUGUGAAAUCUCGGAGCUUAACUCCGAAACUGCAUUCGAUACUGCCGUGCUUGAGGACUGGAGAGGAGACUGGAAUUUACGGUGUAGCGGUGAAAUGCGUAGAUAUCGUAAGGAAGACCAGUGGCGAAGGCGAGUCUCUGGGAUGAUACUGACGCUGAGGCGCGAAAGCCAGGGGAGCAAACAGG